GGACUACCAGGGUUUCUAAUCCCGUUUGCUCCCCUGGCUUUCGCGUCUCAGCGUCAGAAAACGUCCAGGACCUCGCUUUCGCCACGGGCGUUCCUUCCGAUCUCAACGCAUUUCACCGCUCCACCGGAAGUUCCAGGUCCCCCUACGUUCCUCCAGAAAAGUCGUAUCGGCGCCCGUUCCCCGGUUGAGCCGGGGGAUUUCAACGACCGACGUGCCUUUCCGCCUACACGCGCUUUAAGCCCAGUGAUUCCGAAUAACGUUCGCACGGUUCGUCUUACCGCGGCUGCUGGCAC
rnacentral:rRNA from 1 species